GCCCGUUUGGCUCAGUGGAUAGAGCGUCAGCCUGUGGACUGAAGGGUCCCAGUUCUAUUCUGGUGAAGAGCA
rnacentral:tRNA from 1 species